CAACCGAGUGACCUUUUAACAUUUUGCCUGGGCAUGCUGUCUUGUGUUGGCAUAACCACCGUCACAUUUAAGAAAAUGAUCAAGUUUUCUAAAUAGCUACCAUCAAUGGAGUGUCUACUAUAUUCUAAGCACAGUGACAAGAGCUGAAUGUGCAUUAUCUGAUUUAAUUACUCCCUGGAUCUUACCAGCUGGAUGCUGCAUAAUUAGCAUAAAGGGCUCAGGACCAGCUAAAAAAAUAGGACUCAGAAGACAGGCAGGUGUAGAGCACAAUACCAGUGUCAACACUGACAUGCCAACCAGGACAGCUAGCUUCACAGCCCCAAAGUCUUCCUGACAUCUCCCACACCUGCCAUCCCCCAAGCCUGACCUCAGGUGGUCCAGCUGAGGGUGCCAUCACCCGCACCGUGACCUUGCCUUCAUCUGGAGGAGAGAGGGAUAAACACUCUGCACUUGGAGCCCCCGGUAACAGGCUAGCAAGAGUCCAUGGGGAGACGUCCACAUCACUACCCACCAACCUGGAAUGCCCCUCAACGGGGAGUGAGCGAGGCAGUGAAAGCAGAAACCAGGAGUCCUCCCCUUGGGAACUGGGAACUCCCACGGAAGGGAGGCCGUCCUCCCUCAGGCAUUUGAACAGAACAAUGAAAAAGGAAGAAAGUAAAAAGCAAAAAAGGGCAAAAUCUGCCUCAAAACAGUCCCUGGUGAAGAUGGUCUUACUGAACUUGAUUUCAAGCUUUCAAAUAACACAUAACUCCUAUGUUAAAUAGCCUUCGGAAACAUAGUAAAAAAAGGGUUUUUUUAAUUAAAAUAAGUGGAAAUGUUUCCAAUUUCUUUAGAACCCAACAUAAUUCCUUCUCCGGAUUUAUCUUAUGAAACAUACAUACCAGAUUCCUAUAUAAAGAACUGGGAAAGGAAGCACAGUGAUCCUCGGGAAAAAAAAAAAAUGCACUAUCACCAAGUAGAGAUUAUUCCAGGAAUGCAAUAUAAGAAAUCCAUGAAUAUAAAUCAUGUAAAUUGGUAAAAGGAUAAAAACCAUAUGAUCAUCUCAAUAGAUGCCAAAAAGGCUUUUGAUAAAAUUUAAUAUGCAUUCUUCAUUUUAUGUGUACACACACACACACACGCAUGCACACACACACACACACACUCCAAGAGUGAGGUUACCUGCAAGCAGAGAAGACUGCAUCAUAUCUCCUGAUUAGACUACUUUUGGAAUAUGAGGUUCUGAGCAGGGGAAACACAUAGUGGGGAGAGCUGGCUAUGAGAGAGAAGUAGAAUGGAAGAGUACAGCAAGAACAUGAACCUCCCAAGUCAAGAGCCGUCCUACCAAAGUUCAUCCAAAAGGAAGCCUGCUGAAAAGAAGAGGUGAGAGAGGUAGGGCUGCCAGAUAAAAUACAGGAUAUCCAGUUAAA